AUACAUGCAGUCGAGCGAACCGAUUAAGAGCUUGCUCUUAAGAAGUUAGCGGCGGACGGGUGAGUAACACGUAGGUAACCUGCCUAUAAGACUGGGAUAACUCCGGGAAACCGGGGCUAAUACCGGAUAACAUUUUGCACCGCAUGGUGCGAAAUUGAAAGGCGGCUUCGGCUGUCACUUAUAGAUGGACCUGCGGCGCAUUAGCUAGUUGGUGAGGUAACGGCUCACCAAGGCGACGAUGCGUAGCCGACCUGAGAGGGUGAUCGGCCACACUGGGACUGAGACACGGCCCAGACUCCUACGGGAGGCAGCAGUAGGGAAUCUUCCGCAAUGGACGAAAGUCUGACGGAGCAACGCCGCGUGAGCGAUGAAGGCCUUCGGGUCGUAAAGCUCUGUUGUUAGGGAAGAACAAGUGCUAGUUGAAUAAGCUGGCACCUUGACGGUACCUAACCAGAAAGCCACGGCUAACUACGUGCCAGCAGCCGCGGUAAUACGUAGGUGGCAAGCGUUAUCCGGAAUUAUUGGGCGUAAAGCGCGCGCAGGUGGUUUCUUAAGUCUGAUGUGAAAGCCCACGGCUCAACCGUGGAGGGUCAUUGGAAACUGGGAGACUUGAGUGCAGAAGAGGAAAGUGGAAUUCCAUGUGUAGCGGUGAAAUGCGUAGAGAUAUGGAGGAACACCAGUGGCGAAGGCGACUUUCUGGUCUGCAACUGACACUGAGGCGC
rnacentral:rRNA from 1 species